CUGCAGGGAUGAGUGAGAACUGAACUCUCUCUUUCUGAUGGCUAAAUGGAGAAAGCAAAAGUUCUGAGUAGC
ensembl:snoRNA SNORD26 Small nucleolar RNA SNORD26